rnacentral:lncRNA from 1 species
AGCAACCUGCUCGGGACCCCUCUCUGUGACUGUGAGCUGUUCUGUUCUUUUGCCUAUUAAACUCCUGCUCCAAACUCACUCGAUGUGUGUGUGCAUGUCCUUGACCUCAAUAUCUGGUCGUGUGACCAAGAACCUCAGUAUUCACCCCAGACAACAAGGCUGCUUCAUUUUGAGGGCUCGUCUGGGAUUUGAAGGUGACUUCAUCAGAAUGAAACCAUCAAGCUUCAGAUGGUGCUGAAAAUGGAGCCGAAAAUGAAACUGCCCUCCUACGAGGGACCCUUAAAUCAACCCCAGGAGGAGCCCUAGCUGCUGUUCCCCACACAACGCCACUCUCCAGCAGGAAGUAGCCAGAAGAAAUCGUCACCCAGUUUCCCCUAGCAGCAGCGCAGUAAGAUUGAGGAGCUAAAAACAGACUUGGGUGGAUGUCUGCAGCUGCAAGAAGAUGUGUGGGAACAGACACAGAAACUCUCCCUCCCAGAUAAGCAAGACAAAGAAACACAGAAUAAGAGUCCAUCUAUGUGGUCAGAGAAUGGGAUAAGAGCUGAUUUAAAAAAACUCUGCUCUAUAUAGAAGGCACACCUGGUCCCAACCAAACCACUGGACCCUAGGAGGAUAAGACCUCCUCUGCUCAUGAGCCCCCUCCUCAGUAGCCCAUUUAUAAAAACCCUGACAAUUUUACUACCACUUGGCAACCCGCUCGGGACCCCUCUCUGUGAUGGAGAGCUGUUCUUUUCUUUUGCCUAUUAAACUCCUGCUCCAAA